GACGAACGCUGGCGGCGUGCCUAAUACAUGCAAGUCGAACGAGAGCGCCCGGUGCUUGCACUGGUCAAUCUAGUGGCGAACGGGUGAGUAACACGUGGGUAACCUGCCCAUCAGAGGGGGAUAACAUCCGGAAACGGAUGCUAAAACCGCAUAGGUCUUCGAGCCGCAUGGCUUGAAGAGGAAAAGAGGCGCUAGCUUCUGCUGAUGGAUGGACCCGCGGUGCAUUAGCUAGUUGGUGAGGUAACGGCUCACCAAGGCCGUGAUGCAUAGCCGACCUGAGAGGGUGAUCGGCCACAUUGGGACUGAGACACGGCCCAAACUCCUACGGGAGGCAGCAGUAGGGAAUCUUCCGCAAUGGACGCAAGUCUGACGGAGCAACGCCGCGUGAGUGAAGAAGGUUUUCGGAUCGUAAAACUCUGUUGUUAGAGAAGAACAAGUGCUAGAGUAACUGUUAGCGCCUUGACGGUAGCUAACCAGAAAGCCACGGCUAACUACGUG
rnacentral:rRNA from 1 species